rnacentral:rRNA from 1 species
UUUUUUUUCCUUACCCAUCUACAAACAAUACCCCAUAAUGACAAAGUGAAACACGUUUUUAGAAAUUUUGGGCCUGGUUAGUACUUGGAUGGGAGACGGCAUGGGAAUACCAGGUGCCGUAAGCA